CUCCCUCUUCACUUUCUCUCUCUCUCUCUCUGUCACACACACACACACACACACACACACACACAAACCCUUUCUCUUCACUCUCUCUCUACACAGGUUUGACUCUCCCUGGAGAGCUAGUUUUGAUGUUGAGAAGGUAAUUAGUCCUGUUUGGGUUUCCAAGGCGAGCAUCUUACAGGACCUUAUAGCCAUAAAUGAUGCUUGUUUUUAUUUUAAAUCCAGAUUUAAUGGAAAAAUUACCUUUCUGUAGUUUAAUUAGCUUGUGUAAGUUGGUCAGCCUGCUUGAUCGCAAAACCCUCUGAAACCAACCUGCAGACUAGCCUGAUUAGGCUGACGUAUUUAUUUAUUUAUUUAACAGCAGACAACAGCAGCGUCUCCCGAGACACACGAGAGCCGCUCCAGAACCCUGCUAAUCAAGUCAAAAGCUAUCUCAGAUCAUUCAGCUCACAUCAGACCUGCCAACGACGACACUCGGGAACAGCACGUUCAGAAAUGAUCUCUUGAUGCUUUCAGAGCCAGUCACGCAUUUAAAUGCCUACGAUAAAAUUCUGGACACAAUCAUUCAGUUCUGGGUCAAACUGAUUCCUUAUUGAAUUCAAUACAAUUCACCAAAAAUCAUGCUAUGAAAAAAGUAAACCUUUAACAUUAAUAUUUCUCACACAAUAAUAAAUAAAUCAAAUAAAUAAAUAAACAUGGAAACAUUUUAAAAACUGUAUCUGUAAAACUGUGGUUCAAAUUGACCUGGAAUAUUAUAUAAGGCUUAAAAAAAAUCCAUGUUUGGUUUUGUUUGAUGGUUAAAACUUGUUUGUAUCACAUCAAAAACAAUACAAACAAACAACACACACACACACACACACACACACACACACACCUCUCUCUCUCUCUCUCUCUCUCUCUAUUACGUUUAAUAAAAAGAAAAAUUGUGUGCUUUCCUGAAUGCCAAGAUGAUAAUUUUUAAACAAUCUUUUCUUUCUAAAAUUAUUUCUUUUUCUUCUUAUUUUUAUUAUUUAUUUAAAUUUUUUGGGGGGUGUGCUUUCCUGAUCACCAAGAUCACAGGUUCGAUUCCCAGCAAAAUUCACAUGCAUUAACUGAUAAAAAUUUACACCUUGAGGAGAGCAUAUUUUUCUUGGGUUAAAAGCAUCUGUUUUUAUUAUUACUUUUGGUCUGUGUAUCUUUUAACCAUGAAAUAUGUGGGUAAAAUUGACCUGUUAACAUCACAAUUGUAAUAAAAACUUCAUAUGCAUGCCCCACAACACCACAGAAAUGAGAAAUGAGAAAAAAUGUGACCCUGCCUUUUUUUGUGUGAUUUACUGUUUUACAUAAAAUCGUCCUUCAUAAUCUAAAGAA